rnacentral:rRNA from 1 species
GAUGAACGCUGGCGGCGUGGAUAAGGCAUGCAAGUCAAACGGGCUGUAGCAAUACAGUCAGUGGCAGACGAGGUAGUAAUAAGCAGGUACUAACCCCUAAGUCAGGAAUACCUCAUCGAAAGAUGAGUUAAUACUUGAUAGUCUCUUCGGAGUAAAGAUUUAUCGCUUAGGGAUAGGCCUGUUCAGUAUCAGCUAGUUGGUAGGGUAAAGGCCUACCAAGGCUAAGACGCUUAGGGGAGCUGAGAGGCUGACCCCCCACGAUGGAACUGAGACACGGUCCAUACACCUACGGGUGGCCGCAGUCGAGAAUCUUCCGCAAUGGGCGAAAGCCUGACGGAGCGACGCCGCGUGAUUGAUGAAGUCCUUAGGGACGUAAAAAUCUUUUGCCAGGGAGAAAGUUUUAUUGAUAGUACUUGGCGAAUAAGAGGUUGCUAAACUCGUG